rnacentral:tRNA from 1 species
GCCGACGUGGUGGAAUUGGUAGACACGCUAUCUUGAGGGGGUAGUGGCCUAAGGCUGUGCCGGUUCGACUCCGGCCGUCGGCACCA